rnacentral:rRNA from 1 species
GACGAACCGUGCGAACGUUGUUCGGAAUCACUGGGCAUAAAGGGCGCGUAGGCGGCUUUUCAAGUCAGUGGUGAAAUCCGGCAGCUCAACUGUCGAUGUGCCAUUGAUACUGCAGAACUUGAGUACAGACGAGGUAGGCGGAAUUGACGGUGUAGCGGUGAAAUGCUUAGAUAUCGUCAAGAACACCGAUAGCGAAGGCAGCUUACUAGACUGUAACUGACGCUGAUGCACGAAAGUGUGGGGAUCAAACAGG